rnacentral:rRNA from 14 species
AGAGUUUGAUCCUGGCUCAGGAUGAACGCUGGCGGCGUGCCUAAUACAUGCAAGUCGAGCGAACGGACGAGAAGCUUGCUUCUCUGAUGUUAGCGGCGGACGGGUGAGUAACACGUGGAUAACCUACCUAUAAGACUGGGAUAACUUCGGGAAACCGGAGCUAAUACCGGAUAAUAUUUUGAACCGCAUGGUUCAAAAGUGAAAGACGGUCUUGCUGUCACUUAUAGAUGGAUCCGCGCUGCAUUAGCUAGUUGGUAAGGUAACGGCUUACCAAGGCAACGAUGCAUAGCCGACCUGAGAGGGUGAUCGGCCACACUGGAACUGAGACACGGUCCAGACUCCUACGGGAGGCAGCAGUAGGGAAUCUUCCGCAAUGGGCGAAAGCCUGACGGAGCAACGCCGCGUGAGUGAUGAAGGUCUUCGGAUCGUAAAACUCUGUUAUUAGGGAAGAACAUAUGUGUAAGUAACUGUGCACAUCUUGACGGUACCUAAUCAGAAAGCCACGGCUAACUACGUGCCAGCAGCCGCGGUAAUACGUAGGUGGCAAGCGUUAUCCGGAAUUAUUGGGCGUAAAGCGCGCGUAGGCGGUUUUUUAAGUCUGAUGUGAAAGCCCACGGCUCAACCGUGGAGGGUCAUUGGAAACUGGAAAACUUGAGUGCAGAAGAGGAAAGUGGAAUUCCAUGUGUAGCGGUGAAAUGCGCAGAGAUAUGGAGGAACACCAGUGGCGAAGGCGACUUUCUGGUCUGUAACUGACGCUGAUGUGCGAAAGCGUGGGGAUCAAACAGGAUUAGAUACCCUGGUAGUCCACGCCGUAAACGAUGAGUGCUAAGUGUUAGGGGGUUUCCGCCCCUUAGUGCUGCAGCUAACGCAUUAAGCACUCCGCCUGGGGAGUACGACCGCAAGGUUGAAACUCAAAGGAAUUGACGGGGACCCGCACAAGCGGUGGAGCAUGUGGUUUAAUUCGAAGCAACGCGAAGAACCUUACCAAAUCUUGACAUCCUUUGACAACUCUAGAGAUAGAGCCUUCCCCUUCGGGGGACAAAGUGACAGG